CCUACGGGAGACAGCAGUGAGGAAUAUUGGUCAAUGGCCGCAGGUCUGAACCAGCCAAGUCGCGUGAGGGAUGACGGUCCUAUGGAUUGUAAACCUCUUUUGUCAGGGAGCAAAGGGCGCCACGUGUGGCUCUUUGCGAGUACCUUACGAAAAAGCAUCGGCUAACUCCGUGCCAGCAGCCGCGGUAAUACGGAGGAUGCGAGCGUUAUCCGGAUUUAUUGGGGUUAAAGGGUGCGCGGGCGGAAUGUAAAGUUAGCGGUAAAAUUUCGGGGCUCAACCCCGACGUGCCGUUGAAACUGGCGGUCUUGAGUGAGGGAGAAGUAGGCGGAAUGCGUGGUGUAGCGGUGAAAUGCAUAGAUAUCACGCAGAACUCCGAUUGCGAAGGCAGCAUACCGGGGCUCAACUGACGCUCAUGCACGAAAGCGUGGGUAUCGAACAGGAUUAGAUACCCUGGUAGUC
rnacentral:rRNA from 1 species